UCCCAGGUGGUCGAGUGGCUGGGACUCUGCGUUUCCACUGCAGAGGGCCCAGGUUCGAUCCCUGGUCAGGGAA
rnacentral:tRNA from 1 species